rnacentral:rRNA from 1 species
CCUACGGGAGGCAGCAGUGGGGAAUAUUGCACAAUGGGGGAAACCCUGAUGCAGCGACGCCGCGUGUGCGAUGAAGGAUUUCGGUAUGUAAAGUUCUAUCAGCGGGGAAGAAAAUGACGGUACCUGACUAAGCAGCCCCGGCUAACUACGUGCCAGCAGCCGCGGUAAUACGAAGGGGGCAAGCGUUAGCCGGAUUUACUGGGUGUAAAGUGAGCGCAGACGGCUGUGCAAGUCAGAUGUGAAAGCCCGGGGCUCAACCCCGGGACUGCAUUUGGAACUGUGUGGCUGGAGUGUCGGAGAGGCAGGUGGAAUUCCAGGUGUAGCGGUGAAAUGCGUAGAGAUUAGGAGGAACACCAGUGGCGAAGGCGGCCCGCUGGACGAUGACUGACGUUGAGGCUCGAAAGCGUGGGGAGCAAACAGGAUUAGAUACCCUUGUAGUC